rnacentral:rRNA from 1 species
AGGCGGCCGCCGGAGACCCACAAAUUCUGUUUCUAUCAGUCUUUCUGAAUCCGCCGCAAGGCAAAACAAAUGAAUCAAAACUUUCAACAACGGAUCUCUUGGUUCUGGCAUCGAUGAAGAACGCAGCGAAAUGCGA